GACGAACGCUGGCGGCGUGCCUAAUACAUGCAAGUAGAACGCUGAAGGAGGAGCUUGCUUCUCUGGAUGAGUUGCGAACGGGUGAGUAACGCGUAGGUAACCUGCCUGGUAGCGGGGGAUAACUAUUGGAAACGAUAGCUAAUACCGCAUAAUAGUAGAUGUUGCAUGACAUUUGCUUAAAAGAUGCAAUUGCAUCACUACCAGAUGGACCUGCGUUGUAUUAGCUAGUUGGUGAGGUAACGGCUCACCAAGGAAACGAUACAUAGCCGACCCGGGAGGGGGGACGGCCACACUGGGACUGGGACACGGGCCAGACUCCUUCGGGAGGCAGCAGGAGGGAAUCUUCGGCAAAUGGCGGAAGGCUGACCGGGCAACGCCGCGGGAGGUAAGAAGGGUUUCGGAUCGGAAAGAUCUGUUGUAUGGGAAGAACGAGUGUUGGAGUGGAAAGUUCACGCUGUGACGGUAUCUUACCAGAAAGGGACGGCUAACUACGUG
rnacentral:rRNA from 1 species